rnacentral:tRNA from 1 species
GGCUUCGUAGCUCAGUUGGUUAGAGUGUCGCACUGACAUUGCGAUGUCAUGUUCAAACCCCGUUGAAGUCC